rnacentral:rRNA from 1 species
UGAGGAAUAUUGCACAAUGGGCGCAAGCCUGAUGCAGCAACGCCGCGUGCGGGACGAAGGCCUUCGGGUCGUAAACCGCUUUUCUGGGGAAAGAGCAAGGACGGUACCUCAGGAAUAAGUCUCGGCUAACUACGUGCCAGCAGCCGCGGUAAAACGUAGGAGGCGAGCGUUAUCCGGUUUUACUGGGCGUAAAGCGCACGCAGGCGGCUCUGUGAGUCGGACGUGAAAGCUCCCGGCUUAACCGGGAGAGGGCGUUCGAUACUGCGGGGCUUGAGGUAGGGAGAGGAA